GAUGAAGAACGUAGCGAAAUGCGAUAAGUAAUGUGAAUUGCAGAAUUCAGUGAAUCAUCGAACCUUUGAACGCACAUUGCGCCCGCCAGUAUUCUGGCGGGCAUGCCUGUCUGAGCGUCAUUUCAACCCUCAUGCCCCUAGGGCGUGGUGUUGGGGAUCGGCCAAAGCCCGCGAGGGACGGCCGGCCCCUAAAUCUAGUGGCGGACCCGUCGUGGCCUCCUCUGCGAAGUAGUGAUAUUCCGCAUCGGAGAGCGAUGAGCCCCUGCCGUUAAACCCCCAACUUUCCAAGGUUGACCUCAGAUCAGGUAGGAAUACCCGCUGAACUUAAGCAUAUCAAUAAGCGGAGGA
rnacentral:misc_RNA from 1 species